rnacentral:lncRNA from 1 species
UGGUAUUGAGGAUGGGAAGUGCCAAAUUCGGCGAAUGAGCAGCCAAGUAAGCGACUUUACAGAGAAGGACCUUACGUGAUCGAGGGUAGCGAUCGAGCUUUCCAUUCCGUUUCAGCUUCGUUUUCGCUUGACAAUGGCAGAGAGAGAGAGAGAGAUCAGCUCCUUUCGGCCCUUCCCUCUCUAAUUGCAGGAUCGUGCUAAGUGGGUCAAAAUCAAAUCAAAUCAAAUGGGGAACCCUAAAUCGAAGGGCACGAAACAGGGAAACGAAAGCUUACCUUCUCGGCCAGCUCGACGUGUUCCGCCGGCAAGUAAAUCCACCAAGCUCAACGUCGACGGCUGCUCUUCGGUAGAAGGAAGUGUCAAAGGAUCGGUGGCCGGAGAUCGAGAGACCGCCGGAACGGGGUUGUCGAUUACCGGUCUUGCAAGAACAGUGCGCGC